AUGUCCCUACGGGGCGCAGCAGUGGGGAAUAUUGCACAAUGGGGGAAACCCUGAUGCAGCAACGCCGCGUGAAGGAAGACGGUUUUCGGAUCGUAAACUUCUGUUCUUAGUGAAGAAAAAUGACGGUAGCUAAGGAGCAAGCCACGGCUAACUACGUGCCAGCAGCCGCGGUAAUACGUAGGUGGCAAGCGUUGUCCGGAAUUACUGGGUGUAAAGGGAGCGCAGGCGGGAAGCCCAGUCAGCUGUGAAAACUACGGGCUUAACCUGGAGACUGCAGUUGAAACUGGUUUUCUUGAGUGAAGUAG
rnacentral:rRNA from 1 species